rnacentral:rRNA from 1 species
GACGAACGCUGGCGGCGUGCCUAAUACAUGCAAGUUGAGCGAUGAAGAUUGGUGCUUGCACCAAUUUGAAGAGCAGCGAACGGGUGAGUAACGCGUGGGGAAUCUGCCUUUGGGCGGGGGACAACAUUUGGAAACGAAUGCUAAUACCGCAUAAUAACUUUAAACAUAAGUUUUAAGUUUGAAAGAUGCAAUUGCAUCACUCAAAGAUGAUCCCGCGUUGUAUUAGCUAGUUGGUGAGGUAAAGGCUCACCAAGGCGAUGAUACAUAGCCGACCUGAGAGGGUGAUCGGCCACAUUGGGACUGAGACACGGCCCAAACUCCUACGGGAGGCAGCAGUAGGGAAUCUUCGGCAAUGGACGAAAGUCUGACCGAGCAACGCCGCGUGAGUGAAGAAGGUUGUCGGAUCGUAAAACUCUGUUGGUAGAGAAGAACGUUGGUGAGAGUGGAAAGCUCAUCAAGUGACGGUAACUACCCAGAAAGGGACGGCUAACUACGUG